rnacentral:rRNA from 1 species
GCUUGUCUCAAAGAUUAAGCCAUGCAUGUCUCAGUAUAAGUUCCUGUACGGCGAAACUGCGAAUGGCUCAUUAAAACAGUUACAGUUUAUUUGAUGGUCGUUCCUUACAUGGAUAACUGUGGUAAUUCUAGAGCUAAUACAUGCAUUCAAGCCCCGACUUCUGGAAGGGGUGUAUUUAUUAGAUAAAAAUCAACUUUGUUGGUGAAUCAUAAUAACUUCUCGGACCGCAUGGCCUCGUGCUGGCGGUGCUUCAUUCAAAUAUCUGCCCUAUCAACUGUCGAUGGUAGGAUAGAGGCCUACCAUGGUUGCAACGGGUAACGGGGAAUAAGGGUUCGAUUCCGGAGAGGGAGCCUGAGAAACGGCUACCACAUCCAAGGAAGGCAGCAGG